GGCCGCACAAGCGUGAGCAUGUGGUUAUCGAAGCAACGCGAAGACCUACCAAGUCUUGACAUCCGGUGACAAAGUAUGUAAUGUACUCUUCUUCGGACACCGGUGACAGGUGGUGCAUGGUUGUCGUCAGCUCGUGUCGUGAGAUGUUGGGUUAAGUCCCGCAACGAGCGCAACCCUUGUCCUUAGUAGCCAGCGGAUUAGCCGGGCACUCUAGGGAGACUGCCAGGGAUAACCUGGAGGAAGGCGGGGAUGACGUCAAAUCAGCACGGCCCUUACGUCCGGGGCGACACACGUGUUACAAUGGCGGGUACAGAGGGCUGCCACCCAGUGAUGGGGAGCUGAUCCCGAAAGCCCGCCCCAGUUCGGACUGGAGUCUGGAACCCGACUCCACGAAGCCGGAUUCGCUAGUAAUCGCGCAUCAGCCAUGGCGCGGUGAAUACGUUCCCGGGCCUUGUACACACCGCCCGUCAAGCCAUGGAAGCCGGAAGUACCUGAAGUCCGUAACCGCGAGGAGCGGCCUAGGGUAAGGCUGGUAACUGGGGCU
rnacentral:rRNA from 1 species